rnacentral:rRNA from 1 species
UACAGAGGUCUCAAGCGUUGUUCGGAUUCAUUGGGCGUAAAGGGUGCGUAGGCGGCGCGGCAAGUCGGGGGUGAAAUCUUGGAGCUUAACUCCGAAACUGCAUUCGAUACUGCCGUGCUUGAGGACUGGAGAGGAGACUGGAAUUUACGGUGUAGCGGUGAAAUGCGUAGAUAUCGUAAGGAAGACCAGUGGCGAAGGCGGGUCUCUGGACAGUUCCUGACGCUGAGGCACGAAGGCCAGGGGAGCAAACGGG